CGGGGUGGCGGAAUCGGCAGACGCAUCGGACUUAAAAUCCGAAGGGGGGUAACCCCCGUGUGGGUUCAAAUCCCACCCCCGG
rnacentral:tRNA from 1 species